rnacentral:rRNA from 1 species
AUCUUAGCGGCGGACGGGUGAGUAAUGCUUAGGAAUCUGCCUAUUAGUGGGGGACAACAUUUCGAAAGGAAUGCUAAUACCGCAUACGCCCUACGGGGGAAAGCAGGGGAUCUUCGGACCUUGCGCUAAUAGAUGAGCCUAAGUCGGAUUAGCUAGUUGGUGGGGUAAAGGCCUACCAAGGCGACGAUCUGUAGCGGGUCUGAGAGGAUGAUCCGCCACACUGGGACUGAGACACGGCCCAGACUCCUACGGGAGGCAGCAGUGGGGAAUAUUGGACAAUGGGGGGAACCCUGAUCCAGCCAUGCCGCGUGUGUGAAGAAGGCCUUUUGGUUGUAAAGCACUUUAGGCGAGGAGGAGGAGCUCUGCUAACUCUGUGCCAGCAGCCGCGGUAAUACGAGAUUAAUACUCUAGAUGCUUGGACGUUACUCGCAGAAUAAGCACCG